UCGACUAUCCACUAUCCAGUAUCCGGGUAACGCUUGAUUAAUGAAACAUUAGUUUCACUGCUAGCCUAAUCACCUACCCAAUUUCAUGGCCAGUUACACAAUCUCAUCCAAAGAACUGGACGAUUAGAUAUUAACAAACCCUCCUGUUCGAUUUUAUACCCCCAACCAGGAUUCUUACGUAUUCUUGCUGCUUUGAUUAUAUAUGGACAUGGGAAUAUAGAGUUGUCAAAGUAUCAUGUCGUCAAGCUCCAGUACUAUACAUAAUCGACUCAUCUUUAACCCAUAGGAGUGUGUGAAUUUGUUUUUUAGAAGUUUUCCCAAAACACUGCAACCAGUGGCAAGUGGAUGAGCACAUCAGCAUUAAAACUUGAUCUGUCAAUCAAAAGAAUAUUAAAAUAUUUAAGGAUGUCAAAUGAUGCAGUGAUACAAAAUAGGGGCUUGAGGAAGUGGAGAUCUGUUUUAUUUGUGCAGAGUGCAUUUCCAUGGUUAUGCAAUCCUUUUGUUUCAAUUUUUUGAUUCAUUUGAUAUGUGGUUUGUGAGCUUGGUUGAUCUUAAACACAUAAAACCUAGAUCAUUCUGGUCUCUGACAUCUUAUAAUUUAUUUUGUAUGUGUGGCGAGCGUGCAAAUUUAUGUGAUUGCUGAGUUUCUCUUCUAUCCUGUUGUCUUAAGUCCGUCAUUUGUUUUAAUCUAAGCACUCAUGGCUGCAAUUUAAUGACAUUGUACUUAAAAUUCUAUCUUUCAGUCCCUACAGGAUCACGAACUGGAGCAGGCCAGGAUGUUAUUAAUCUGCUGGGCGCUAGCAUGUCUGAAGAUUUUUUUUUUUGUAGUGUGUCCGAGAAAAAGAGUUAUACCACAAGUAAGCUGAGAACUGGGAUUAACAAAAGUGUGUAUCCUGCAAUCAAAGUAGGCUACGACAGAAAAUAUCAUUGUCGGUUCUCAUGUUUGGAUUGAAGAUCCAGAAAUAGCUUGGAUCGAUGGACAAGCUACAAAGAUUAAUGGACAAGAAGUUCAGAUAGAUACUACUAGAGGAAAUUCGGUGUGUGAGCUAUUUAUUUUGCAUAGUAUUAUUUAACCAAGUCCUUCUCUGUUAUUUUUUGUGAUAUACGAAUCCUUCCCUGGGGUACAUUACACUUGUGAAAGGGUCUGCAGUGCUCUUCAAAAUUCGUUAAAAAGCCUCUGCAACUAUAAGGUUAAAUCAUAUAUCCUUAUAUCAUUCAGUUCGCCAUAAGGCAGAUUGCACGAGAAAAUAGUUCUUUCGUGAGUUCUCCUGAAAGGUAUGAUUUAAAAUUAAAGUAAAUGGAUUAAAAUUGUUGCUACAUUGGUUUCGUAAUACAUUUUAAUAAACUUGCUCUGUUUAUGGGACCUGAUUUCGAUUUUUUUUUUUUUAUCUAUUUCUAUGACGAUCAUCCAAAUAUCUUUUGGCUCUUCAUUUGUUGCUAGAGACGAAUAUACAAGAUAUAGGUUCCUGGAUUCCGUUUAAUGUUAUCAUUGCUUCAAUUUCGAUAUUAUCAUCUCUACUUAUCAUCAUGGUCGGCCAGAAUUUGCCCCUUCUGUUCCUAAACAAUUUACUUUUUCCCAACAUGCAGGUGCUUCUAGCGGAGGACUCGGUGCCCAUGUGAACUGGCAUGUUUGAUGCAAAUCAAGUGAAAGGUAAGAAAUUUAUUCUCUAUGACAAGUUCCGCAAUAAAUUUUCGUACCAACCAAACUUUUAUGUUUUAGCUUUAAUAAUAUAGUACAAAUAGGGUUUUACUUCACUAGGAAUCUCCCUAAAAUAAAAAUUGAAAACUAAAAUAUAAAUUUUACUAAAUUGUAUUGAAAUAUAGCAUAUAUUAUAUGUAAAAUGAUUGUCGGAAGAGAUAGAGGAAAAUUUCAGUGAAGUUAGAUUUAAAAAAAUAUAUUCACCUAUUGAUGGAAAAAUUAAAUUAGAAAAGUAGGGAAUUAUGUAUGAGAGGGUGUAUUGUAAUUGAGCGUGAUGCCUUCUAGAGGGCCAUUAGAUUAAAUUAAUCUAAGAACCCUUGUAGCUGUAGGAAAUGAAAGAGCAACGUGUUUCUGAUGAUAAACUAUUACUUCUCAUGGGCAUGUGAUGCCUUCUAGAGGGCCAGUAGAUUAAAUUAAUCUAAGAACCCUUGUAGCUGUAGGAAAUGAAAGAGCAAGGUGUUUCUGAUGAUAAACUAUUACUUCUCAAGGGCAUGAGUGGAGUUUUCAGGUCAGGGGUUCUAACUGCUCUAAUGGGUGUUAGUGGUGCUGGACUGUUGGUAAAACAACUUUGAUGGAUGUAUUGGCUGGUCGGAAACUCGGAAUUGGUGCUGGUUUCAUUGCUGAUGUUUUGGACAUGAGCAUUCGUGACAAAGUAAUUCAAGUAGGCAUUUUGGCAAAAGCUAUAAUGUCGUUGACUUCAGUUAAUAAAUUUUAUGGAGAGGCUCUUUCGAGCUUUUAUGCACAAUUAUCUGGCAAGAUUUUAGUCUAAAUUGCAUCAAGAGUAUGAUUACUAAGUAGGUAGUGAAUGUUCUAUUGAUUUUUGAGACAUCUUGAACAGGAAUUUUUUAAACAUAUGUUUUGAUAUCC